GAUGAACGCUAGCGGCAGGCUUAAUACAUGCAAGUCGAGGGGUAACAUGGUAGCAAUACUGAUGACGACCGGCAAACGGGUGCGGAACACGUACAGAACCUUCCUUUAAGCGGGGAUAGCCCAUAGAAAUGUGGAUUAAUACCCCACUAGUAAUAUUGUCUGGCAUCAGAUGGUAUUUAAAGAUUUAUCACUUAAAGAUGGCUGUGCGGCUG
rnacentral:rRNA from 1 species